GUUUGAUCAUGGCUCAGGAUGAACGCUAGCGGCAGACCUAAUACAUGCAAGUCGAACGGUGUCUUCGGACAUAGUGGCGCACGGGUGCGUAACACGUAUGCAACCUACCUUACAUUGGGGGAUAGCCUUUCGAAAGGGAGAUUAAUACCGCAUAAGACAGUAGUCUGGCAUCAGACAGCUGUUAAAGAUUUAUCGAUGUAAGCUGGGCAUGCGACCAAUUAGUUAGUUGGCGAGGUAAUGGCUCACCAAGACUAUGAUUGGUAGGGGAACUGAGAGGUCAAUCCCCCACACUGGCACUAAGAUACGGGCCAGACUCCUACGGGAGGCAGCAGUAGGGAAUAUUGGGCAAUGGACGCAAGUCUGACCCAGCCAUGCCGCGUGCAGGAAGAAGGCGUUAUGCGUUGUAAACUGCUUUUAUACAGGAAGAAACGACUCUUGCGAGAGGCAUUGACGGUACUGUAUGAAUAAGCACCGGCUAACUCCGUGCCAGCAGCCGCGGUAAUACGGAGGGUGCAAGCGUUGUCCGGAUUUAUUGGGUUUAAAGGGUGCGCAGGUGGUUUAUUAAGUCAGUGGUGAAAGACGGUCGCUCAACGAUUGCAGUGCCAUUGAAACUGGUAGACUUGAGUAAAGUAGAGGUGGGCGGAAUUGAUAGUGUAGCGGUGAAAUGCAUAGAUAUUAUCAAGAACUCCAAUUGCGUAGGCAGCUCACUUGGCUUUUACUGACACUCAUGCACGAAAGUGUGGGUAUCAAACAGGAUUAGAUACCCUGGUAGUCCACACUGUAAACGAUGAUAACUAGGUGUCGGCCGAAUCUGGUCGGUGCCACAGCGAAAGCGUUAAGUUAUCCACCUGGGGAGUACGCCGGCAACGGUGAAACUCAAGGAAUUGACGGGGUCCGCACAAGCGGUGG
rnacentral:rRNA from 1 species